AUGGAGGGGAAGCACAUGGUGAUGUCGGCGGUGGGGAUCGGGAUAGGCGUCGGCGUGGGGCUGGGGCUGGCGUCCGCGCCGUGGUCGGGCGGAGGGUCGGGAGGCCCGGCGCGGGCCGGGGUCACGCUGGAGCGGGUGGAGCACGAGCUCCGCCGCCUCGUCGUCGACGGCAGGGACAGCAAGGUCACCUUCGACGAGUUCCCCUACUACCUCAGUGAGCAAACACGCGUCGUGCUGACGAGCGCCGCAUACGUUCACCUGAAGCAAGCAGAGAUCUCCAAAUACACCAGGAAUCUUGCUCCGGCUAGCCGUGCGAUUCUGCUGUCAGGCCCUGCAGAGCUUUACCAGCAGAUGCUCGCCAAGGCGCUCGCGCACUAUUUCGAGGCGAAAAUCCUCCUGCUGGAUCCUACAGAUUUUCUCAUAAAGCUUCACGGCAAAUACGGCACCGGAGGCAGCGAACAGUCUGUUACAAGAUCCAUCUCUGAGACGACUCUUGAAAAGAUGUCUGGAUUACUCCAGUCUUUUACGAUGACUCCACAGAAGGAGCAAUCCAGAGGAGGUAUGCGUAGGCAAAACAGUAUGACCGACAUGAAAUUAAGGAGCUCUGAAAGUACAAACAGCAUACCCAGGCUCAGAAGAAAUGCAUCUACUUCAUCCGAUAUGAGUAGCCUGGCAUCGCAAGGCCCUCCAAGUAAUUCAGCUCCUCUCAGACGUGCUAGUAGCUGGACUUUUGAUGAGAAAAUGUUGGUACAAGCGUUGUACAAGAUUCUGCAUAAAGUAUCUAAGAAGAGCCCUAUUGUCCUCUACAUAAGAGAUGUCGAGAAGUUUCUUCACAAGUCCCCCAAAAUGUAUCUCUUAUUUGAGAAACUACUGACCAAGCUUGAAGGGCCAGUGCUACUUCUCGGCUCAAGAAUUGUGGAUAUGGACUUUGAUGAUGACGAGCUGGAUGACAGGCUAUCUGCUUUGUUCCCAUAUAGCAUAGACAUCAAGCCGCCCGAAAAUGAGAAUUGCCUUGUAAGCUGGAACUCCCAGUUAGAAGAAGAUAUGAAGAUUAUUCAGUUUCAAGAUAAUCGGAACCAUAUCACGGAAGUCCUUGCAGAGAAUGAUCUCGAGUGUCUUGAUUUAGGCUCAAUAUGUCUAUCCGAUACAAUGGGCCUCAGUAAGUAUAUUGAGGAGAUUGUGGUAUCUGCAGUUUCUUACCACUUGAUGAAUCAUAAAGACCCAGAGUACCGGAACGGAAAACUAAUUCUAUCUGCUAAAAGCUUGUCCCAUGCAUUGGAAAUUUUUCAAGAGAACAAGAUGAGCGAUAAGGACACCAUGAAGUUGGAAAGGCAUACUGACGCUCGAAAGGGAAUUGUACCGACUGCUGCAAAAUUGGAAACAAAACCUGCAACUUUGCUGCCACCAGCAGCUCCUGCUGCCGCUACUCCAGCUCCUCCUCUUGAGAGCAAAACAGAACCAAAGAAACCAGAGAAUCCACCUCCACCUGCAAAACUACCAGAAGUGCCCCCAGAUAAUGAGUUUGAAAAGCGCAUCAGACCAGAAGUGAUACCCGCGAAUGAAAUUGGAGUUUCAUUUGAUGAUAUCGGUGCAUUGGAAGAUAUCAAAGAAUCCCUUCAAGAGCUUGUCAUGCUACCCCUCCGACGGCCAGAUCUCUUCAAGGGGGGUCUUCUUAAGCCCUGUAGAGGUAUAUUACUCUUUGGUCCUCCUGGAACUGGCAAGACGAUGCUAGCCAAGGCUAUUGCAAAUGAAGCUCAAGCAAGUUUCAUCAAUGUAUCAAUGUCGACUAUCACAUCAAAGUGGUUUGGCGAAGACGAAAAGAAUGUUAGAGCACUGUUCACUUUAGCUGCUAAAGUAUCGCCCACUAUCAUUUUCGUCGAUGAGGUUGAUAGCAUGCUUGGGCAGCGAAACAGAGCUGGAGAGCAUGAGGCAAUGAGGAAGAUUAAGAAUGAGUUUAUGACACACUGGGACGGUCUCCUAUCAAGACCCGAUCAAAAAAUUCUUGUUCUUGCUGCGACCAACCGUCCUUUUGAUCUUGACGAGGCUAUCAUCAGAAGGUUUGAGCGCAGAAUCAUGGUUGGCUUACCAUCAGUGCAAAAUCGGGAAAUGAUCAUGAAGAGGCUUCUGUCAAAGGAGAAAGUUGAUGAAGGUCUAGAUUAUAAGGAACUAGCAACCAUGACUGAAGGAUACAGUGGCAGUGAUCUCAAGAACCUUUGCACAACGGCGGCAUAUCGCCCUGUGAGGGAACUGAUACAGAAGGAAAGGAAGAAGGAACUGGAGAAGAAGAAACUGGAAAAAGGCGGCACUCCACUAGAUCCUUCAAAGAUGAAAGAAAAAGACAAGGAGGUCAUUCUAAGGCCAUUAAACAUGGCAGAUUUGAAAGAAGCAAAGACCCAGGUGGCGGCGAGCUUUGCUGCUGAAGGUUCCAUAAUGGGUGAGUUGAAGCAAUGGAAUGAUUUGUAUGGUGAAGGCGGGUCGAGGAAGAAGGAGCAGUUGACGUACUUCCUGUGA
rnacentral:rRNA from 1 species